UGUCACUCGGAGAAGACAGGCUCUUCCGGGGCUGGGACGGCUGUGGGCGGCGGGAUGCCUCCGCGCCUGCAAACUCAUAAAUACCGCAGCCGCACUGGUGGCCGGAGACGCGCGUGCAAGCAGUUGGCGCCCUCGAGGCAUCUGGAUAACCAUCCCUGGAAGACCUCCCUUCCAUCCUGCCUCACUCCCAGUGACAUUGCCUGAUCCCGCUCCAUUCUUCAUCCUCCCAGUCCCUCCUGCUCUCCCUGACGGAAUCUAACCUUCUGCGGCCCCCAUCCCUUUCCCCUCUCUGCCCCCUCCACCACCACUAUGGGCCCCUUUCUUCCCUGCUGGUCCUGCUGCUGUCUGCUCCUGUUUUUCUCCCUGGGAGUCCAGGGGGCCCCAAAGGAUCCCAAUGCUGCCCCGGAGCAAGUCCACCUGUCGUACCCAGGUGAGCCGGGCUCCAUGACUGUAACCUGGACCACAUGGGUCCCAACCCAGUCUGAAGUACAGUUCGGGCUGCAGUUAUCAGGGCCCCUGCCCCUCCGGGCCCAGGGCACCGUCAGCCCCUUUGUGGAUGGGGGUUAUCUCCGGCGGAAGCUCUACAUACACCGCGUCACGCUGCAGGGGCUGCUGCCGGGGGUCCAGUAUGUUUACCGCUGUGGCAGUACUCAGGGCUGGAGCCGGCGGUUCCGCUUCAGGGCCCUAAAGAAUGGGUCCCACUGGAGCCCCCUUCUGGCUGUAUUUGGGGACCUGGGGGCUGACAACCCGAGGGCCCUACCCCGGCUGCGCAGGGACACUCAGCAGGGCAUGUACGAUGCUGUUCUCCAUGUGGGAGACUUUGCCUACAACAUGGAUCAGGACAACGCUCGUGUCGGCGACGAGUUCAUGCGUCUCAUCGAGCCUGUGGCUGCCAGCCUCCCGUACAUGACAUGCCCUGGGAAUCAUGAGGAACGCUACAACUUCUCUAACUACAAGGCUCGCUUCAGCAUGCCCGGAAACAAUGAGGGCCUGUGGUACAGCUGGGAUCUGGGCCCUGCGCACAUCAUCUCCUUCUCCACCGAAGUAUAUUUCUACCUCCACUACGGCCGCCACCUGGUAGAGAGACAGUUUCACUGGCUGGAGAGAGACCUCCAGAAAGCCAAUAAGGACCGGGCAGCCCGGCCGUGGAUCAUCACCAUGGGUCACCGGCCCAUGUACUGUUCCAAUGCGGACGUGGAUGACUGUACGUGGCAUGAAAGCAAGGUUCGAAAAGGCCUCUUCGGCAAGUUAUUUGGAUUAGAGGAUCUUUUCUACAAAUACGGGGUCGACCUGCAGCUGUGGGCUCAUGAGCACUCGUACGAACGACUGUGGCCAAUUUACAACUACCAGGUAUUUAACGGCAGUCGAGAGAUGCCCUACACCAACCCUCGAGGCCCUGUCCACAUCAUCACAGGAUCUGCUGGCUGUGAGGAGCGGCUGACCCGCUUCACCCUCUUCCCGCGGCCUUGGAGCGCCGUGCGGGUGAAGGAGUACGGGUACACGCGGCUACACAUCCUCAACGGGACCCACGUCCACAUCCAGCAGGUGUCCGAUGACCAGGAUGGAAAGAUUGUGGACGAUGUAUGGGUGGUGAGACCCCUGCUCCACCGGAUGAUGUACCUCUAGGAACGGGGCGACUCUGAGCCUUGCGGCCUAUGUAACCGGACACCACCCAUGCCCGGCUGGGGAGCCAGGGCAGGCCUUGACUCCUCCGCCUUCCUGAGGGCCCAUGUGGAUGAAUGCGGCCCUGAGGGGGCUGGGCAGCUCCCCCUCCUGGAGAGGUGGGGGUCCCCAGCGGCUGUGUUCGAAGGGCAGUUGCGGACACAGACAGACACAGACGCACAGUCUCCCCCACCGCCACCCCACCCCUCACCCCUGCCCUCUGACAGCUGUCAGCCUGUUCCAUGAAUCCAUGCCUCUGUUUCUGCUUCGUCCGUCAGUUUAUCUUGAACACACCAAGCUGCUUCUGCCGUGGGGCCUGUGCACUGGACCUUUGCUCUCUGAGUGCCCUCUCCCCAGCUCAUCCCAGGCUGGCACCGUCUGAGGCCUCAGAUCACAGCCUUCCCUGACAACCCAGUUAACAUAACCACACCCAGUCUCUGUCCCACCCUGUGUACGUCAAUUCUAGCUCUUGGCUUUCUACAGUUCUUUUACUGAUUUGUUAACCAUUCAUUGUCAAUCUGCCCUGCUGGGCUGGGGGUCUGUGAGGGUGGAGACCCAGACCAUCUUGUUCAUUCCUGGGUCUUUCACCUCCCUCAACCUCUCCCAGGCCCUUCUCAGGCUGGGUUAGGACCCUGGACACCCCCACUUCAACCCCGCCCUUUCUGGGUCAGCACUGUCUGGGGGUGGGUCUGUCUCCACCACUGGACUGUCAACCCAGGAGGGUGGUGUCCAGGGCUCGAACCAGCCCAGCCCAGCACAAGAUAGAUGCUUAAUAAAUAUUUGUUGCCUUAAUGAAGGCUGCCACAUGCCAGAUGCCGGGCAAUGUCGGGGCAGACAGCAAUGAAUCAGAGGUGGUCAGGCCUGGCAUGUUCUGUGUGUACUGAGGCUGUGAGCGUGCCCGGGCGAUGGGGUCCACAGAGAGCAAAGGCCUGGCACGGGAGCCAGACAGAAACCCGGUUAAAUCUCAGCUCUGCCACUUCCAGUGGGAUGUGGAGUCCCUAGCCCUCUCUGAGCCUCCGUUUCUUCAUCUGUAACAAAAGAAUGAUCACACCUUGUGGGGUUGCCUUGGGAUUAAAUGAGUUGAAAGCUUUGGUGUUGUUGUCCUUGACUCCUCU